UGAUAUACUCAAAUACGUCAGGUCAAAGUGCAACCCAUAAAAAGGGAAUGAUGGGUUACAACCCUAACAAGGAAACAAAAAAAUAUAAUAAAUAUAUUCAAAUGGUGGACUUGAUUGUAAUUUUAAUUAAAAGUUAAAAUGAACAAUUGACCUAAAACAUGCACACAUCGCCCGUCACUCCCCCCCUAAGGGGGGAUAAGUCGUAACAAAGUAGGCAUAAUGGAAAUUGUGCCUG
rnacentral:rRNA from 1 species